GACGAACGCUGGCGGCGUGCCUAAUACAUGCAAGUCGAGCGAGCAAUUUUAGCAGAAUACCUUCGGGUAGGAAGCUAAGAGCGCGAGCGGCGGAUGGGUGAGUAACACGUGGGCAACCUACCCUUUAGCUGGGGAUACCACUUGGAAACAGGUGCUAAUACCGAAUAAGAAGCAAGAGCGCAUGCUCAAGCUAUGAAAGGCGGCUUUAAGCUGUCACUAAAGGAUGGGCCCGCGGUGCAUUAGCUAGUUGGUAAGGUAACGGCUUACCAAGGGGAUGAUGCAUAGCCGAGUUGAGAGACUGAACGGCCACAUUGGGACUGAAACACGGCCCAAACUCCUACGGGAGGCAGCAGUAGGGAAUCUUCCACAAUGGACGCAAGUCUGAUGGAGCAACGCCGCGUGAGUGAAGAAGGUUUUCGGAUCGUAAAGCUCUGUUGUUGGUGAAGAAGGAUAAGGAUAGUAACUGAUUCAUAUUUGACGGUAAUCAACCAGAAAGUCACGGCUAACUACGUGCCAGCAGCCGCCGUAA
rnacentral:rRNA from 1 species